AUGCAAGUGCUUCCUUUUGAUAUCUGUUGUUAUAUUCCCGGAAAGAUACACAGUUAUAAUAGAAAAUUAUUUUCGGACCAUACUCGAAAAUACUACAGAAAGUUGCAACCAUGCUGCAGAAUAAGAGUAAAAAUCCUUGGCAUUGCAGACUGGUAUGUGCCAGUGGGAGUUUGCAGAGUCAUUUGCAACCUUGCCAUGCAGAGCUGAAAGCACGUAGCUUCUAUUUGUCGAAGUUAUGCCAGGUCAUACGUUGUGUUUGACUUGUUAGCAAACCUGCUUGCUGAGUUGUGUUCCUUUCCAAGUGGGACGUCUUUCACCUCCAGCUAGCGGAAAAGCAUCGUCACUUUCUUCCUGAUAAUGGAUCAGAAGCAGCAGAUGUUUCCACCACUUCCAAUAUGGUUUACUCUAAUUGAAGUGAAACGUGAAGACAGCCGAUGCAAAAACCAUCUUCAUUUCUUACAUCCAUCUCUUGGCUGAAGUCCUUCUGCUAGCUGCUACACAUUCCUCAGUCAUAAUCUCAAAGCCCUUAAUGAAUCAAGCAUCUAUGAUACUGCUUUGAUUCAUGGACCACUGUUUAUUUGGGAAAAGCUGGUUACAGGACCUGCUAUAAAGCACAUAAAAGAUGGAAACAAACACUGCUGUUACAGUUUUUUCACUGAGACACUCAUAAUGAAAAAUAAUCAUUCCAUUCCUCUCUCAAAAACCAAACACUCCUCAAACUUAGUAGGCCACUUUUCCCCUUAAUGAAAAGUAAAAUCUCUGAAGACAGGGAAGAAUAUACUGCUACUGGUUUUGUAUGGGAGGCUCAAAUUUUGUAGAAUCGGGGAACUAUUAUAAAAUACAUAGCUUAGAUGCAAACAUACUGUAUUAUUUAAGGUUGUUCAGCCUUGUGUAGUUUGCGCUACAUGGGUUAUCAGAGGGUAGAAACUGGUUCUGAUUAACCUCUGUCAGGUAUUCUAAGAAUAAGAGCGAGCAAAAGAAAGGAAAGAAAUCUAUAACAAUUCUGUUGAGUUGUAUAACCAAGCAAAAUUAAGGUGGAUGAUUUCCUUCAGUCCAGUGGUUUGAAAAACUAAGCAAAGUUCACAGGGGGAAAAGAAAGGAUGAAUGUUGAGUAUCACAGAGACACAAUUCAAGAAACUAAUACCUUUUAAAUAACCUUUUAAUCUGACAUGCAACUUUCCACUGGAGAAAUGGAAUGUCCUUUCCAAGCAAUAUAUUUUCCCUUGUGUCAAAGUCUGUGCCAGCACAAUACUAAACAGAGUGAAUGCAAAUUAAAAAGGUGAAAAUGUUUAUUGUUGCAUUGCAAUUAAUAGAAAAGAGAAAAUGAAUUCUCCAUAUUUCAGAUAAAUAAUAUCAGGAGACUAAGUGAAACAGUAAACAAAUUAGAGUAAAUAUUUCACUUGUUAUUAAUGAUUGUGAUGCUGCAAGGAAUCACAUUUUUCAACCCCUCCCUAGAAUUGUUUUCUUCAUAUAAUUUUGAUUUUUUGUAAAAUGAAGUGGUUAUUCAUUUCCAAACACAGAGAGCUUUGUAUUGUUAACAUUCAUUGCCACAAGGGAGCCACACGAUUCUUUAUUGCAAUAAAACACAAAAGGAUGAUCUUGACA
rnacentral:lncRNA from 1 species